GAUGAACGCUGGCGGCGUGCCUAAUACAUGCAAGUCGAGCGAACGGACGAGAAGCUUGCUUCUCUGAUGUUAGCGGCGGACGGGUGAGUAACACGUGGAUAACCUACCUAUAAGACUGGGAUAACUUCGGGAAACCGGAGCUAAUACCGGCUAAUAUUUUGAACCGCAUGGUUCAAAAGUGAAAGACGGUCUUGCUGUCUCUUAUAGAUGGAUCCGCGCUGCAUUAGCUAGGUGGUAAGGUAACGGCUUACCAAGGCAACGAUGCAUAGCCGACCUGAGAGGGUGAUCGGCCACACUGGAACUGAGACACGGUCCAGACUCCUACGGGAGGCAGCAGUAGGGAAUCUUCCGCAAUGGGCGAAAGCCUGACGGAGCAACGCCGCGUGAGUGAUGAAGGUCUUCGGAUCGUAAAACUCUGUUAUUAGGGAAGAACAUAUGUGUAAGUAACUGUGCACAUCUUGACGGUACCUAAUCAGAAAGCCACGGCUAACUACGUG
rnacentral:rRNA from 1 species